rnacentral:tRNA from 1 species
GCGAGAAUGGCGGAAUUGGCAGACGCGCUGGACUUAGGAUCCAGUGGGGUAACCCGUGGGGGUUCGAGUCCCCCUUCUCGCA